UACCAGCUCUCCGAGUGGUAGGGAUGAUUAUUGGGCUUAAAGCGUCCGUAGCCGGCUUGGCAAGUUUCCUGUUAAACUCUGCGACUUAAUCGUUGAAUCGCGGGAAAUACUACUAGGCUAGGAGGCGGGAGAGGUCAACGGUACUUCUGGGGUAGGGGUGAAAUCCUAUAAUCCCGGGAGGACCACCAGUGGCGAAGGCUGUUGACUAGAACGCGCUCGACGGUGAGGGACGAAAGCUGGGGGAGCGAACCGGAUUAGAUACCCGGGUAGUCCCAGCUGUAAACGAUGCGGGCUAGGUGUUGGGAUGGCUACGUACCAUUUCAGUGCCGCAGGGAAGCCAUUAAGCCCGCCGCCUGGGGAGUACGGCCGCAAGGCUGAAACUUAAAGGAAUUGGCGGGGGAGCACCACAAGGCGUGAAGCUUGCGGUUC
rnacentral:rRNA from 1 species